rnacentral:lncRNA from 1 species
AAAUAGUAUGUAUAUAAUUAAUUAUGUGUUGUGUGUGUGCGUGUUGUGUUGUGUUGUGUGUGUGUGUGUGUGUGUUGUGUGUGUGCGCGCGCGCGCGUGUGUGUGUGUCUUGUGACUUUAAUGUAGGUUGUAUAGGGCAUGGAAAAGAAAAGGCAGAGGUUAUUUCUCUAUGGUGGAUUAGUUCCACAAUUCAAACCAUUUAUUCUUAUUCUCUAAAUCAUAUCCAUGGCACCAUAAUGACUAUAGUGGCGAUCCUUGGAGUCUCAAUGGCAUUCUAGCAGCUGAACAAAAACAAGGGUGGAAAUCAAAGGAGACAUGGCCAACUGAACCUUGGUCAAGACACUCUAGCCUUUGGCGGACUGAAUGACUUGGGUUUCAUGGGGCACCCCUUUACUUGGACAAAUGGUAGAGAAGGGGACGAAAGUAUACAAUGUAGACUUGACAAGGCAAUGGGAAAUGAGGGUUUCAUCAAAGAUUUUCCCCAUUAAAAGUCAUCUUUCCCAUUUUAGUUUGGACCAUGUUGUCCUCCAAAUUUCUCGAGGUCUACCCUCAAGAAGAAAAGAAAAAGGCCCACCUGUUUCAUUUUAAAGAGUGCUGAAUGGAAGAAAAUAAUUGUGAGUCUUUGAUUCAUCGUUACUACAGUGGGACCAAUUGAAGCACUAUCAUAAAACUGAACUUCCUCCAAGCUCUAAAUGCCAAUUUCAAACACCUAAAGACAAAUAAGCUCAUGUAAGACAUUAUCAAAAUUGAAGAACUUUUGAGGAACUCAGAAUAGUGGGACGUGUCCAAUGAGGACAUUCUCUAAUACAAAGGGUUGGAAAGGCAACAUGUUGAUCUACUUCAAAAAGAGAAAACCAUGUGGAGACAACACAAUAGGGUGGCUAAAAGGUGGUGAUAAAAAUUCAACACAAUAAAAGAAACUUAAAGAUGGUGAAGGCAUCUGGUGGCAAGACCAAGAAAAGGUAGAAGGAGUUCUAAUGGAUUUCUUUGCUAAUCGUUUUACCUCUUCUAACCCGUUUGGAAUGGAUAAUAAUUUUGAAUCAAUACAAAAGAGGUUAUCUGAGGAGCAAAUGGAUUGGUGUGAUAGACCGUACAACAGAGAAGAGAUGAAGGAAGCCAUUGAUCAAAUGUAC